AUCUUGCUAGUGAUCCCUGUGUACCUGAGGACUUACUAGGAACCUGUUCUGUGUAAGUAAAGCAGAGCCAGCGUGUUGGAUUCAGUUUAUACACAAAGAAGCCGUAAGCUGACUAGAAGCAGCAGUGGAGGUACUUCAUGUAACAUUUCCUCCUGCAAGAAAUCCUUCUUUCGUGUUCUUCACUGUCCUUGUGCACCAAGGAGGAACUAGAACUGUGAUUUUUGUUGAAGUUGAAUUUCACAGAUUCAUGUGGAUAGCUAUGUGGAUGUAUUUCUGUGUUGAAUCUCUCUGAUGUAAUUUUACCGUUAUUUAUCAUCCUAGGAAAUCAUUGCAUUUCAACAACAGCUAGUUUCCAAUCCAUUUUUCUGUUCAUCUUUGUGAUAUGAUCGCUGUUUAGAAGCACAAAAAUCAUCAUAGUUUCAACAUACAAGAAGAACACAGUGCACAGGAAACUAGUGCUUUUAGAACAGAAGACACUGCACAAUGUGAGGUACUGCUGGAGAAGAGUAUCCAAGUACUUUAAUAUCCAGUGAUGCAGAUGUGUUAUCUGCUUUGGUUUUUAAUGUAAUCAAGAUUUUUUUUUUCUUUAUAUUAAAUCACUCAUGGAGGGGAAAAAGAAACACCUUACAGGUUCUGUGACUCACUGCACCCAGGUUCUUCCGAAUUUCCAGUAUGCCUCGAGCUCUGUGUGUCUUUGGAUGGUACUCUUCGCCUAUGUUCCUAAUGAAAUGAUUACCUUCUGUAAAUAUCAAGUCUUGUUAAGUGAUCAGCCUCAAUACAAGAGCCCUCUGCAGCUCAAAUCGCACAGAAUAAAAUCUAAAACGGUUACUAUCAGGAGGUUUUCAUUAGAGGAGUGCAAACAAAAUUGUCAAAGUAUAAGAUUAUGUGAUUAUAAUCAAGAGGAAUUAGACAUGGAGAAAGGGGGAAAUGAUAAAAAAAAAAAAAGCAUCAGAACAUAAAGAACAUCCAUAGAAAGCAAAUGGUUCAAAUUUAUCUUGGGGAGGAAAGUUUAUAGUAACUGGAAAAUCCACAUCAUUUUUGACAUUGUCUGGUAUGAUAAGCUGGUAGUUGAAUAAUAGGCAAGGCAUCAACUACAAGGAUGUUAAUUUCUGUAUUAGAAUAUUCUUUUCCUGCAGAGGUCGUGAUUUACUUCAUUUCAUUUUGAAGGUUGUGAAUUUGUAAAGGGAAUCUGUGAUUGCUCUCUGAUUAAUAAGUAGAGGCUAUUUAAGUGUUAGUUUGAACGGCCCAUGUUUACUAUAACCUCACAGUUUGUAUACCAGUCAAAAUUAAUUUAAAAUCUUACACUUUGCUUUAAGAAGUUUGGGAAAUAAUAGGAAAAUAUACAAACAUUCGAAAAAGGUAGGAAAAGAAAGCAUUGACUAAUAUGGAGAAUAUUGAGGGUGAACAAGAAAAGUGCAUUAUUCAUUUAAACAUUCUGGAAAAUGGGGAAAGGUAUGAGAAAUGAAAAGCAUCUGAAGAAAGCAGAAGGCAUGAAAAGGAGAUCCUAUGCAUGCUUUGUUAUGCGUAGGAUCUUACGGGGGCAGUACUUCUGAAAGUCUUCCAAAUUGCAUUUUUCGUUGGGUUUCAAAGGUUAUGUUGGAUAUUUAUUGUUCAUCCCCCUAUAUGCAUUAAAGUAGCCAUAUUCAUAUCCCUAUAGGGAUUUGUAUCUUGCUUAAAGUCUGUACAGAGAUGACAGAAGAACACCAUGAAUUAACAUAGGCUAUAAACCUUACAAGAGGGUACCAAUUUCCAUCUCUAACUUUAUCAUGCUGUUUACAGAAUGUAUGUCCUCUAAAAUGGAAUGUAGCAGAAAAUCCAUUGGUUAAAAGAAGAAUACAUGAGGAACAAUAAAUGCUUUGAAG
rnacentral:lncRNA from 1 species